AUGUACCUACGCUGUCUGAACCUGGCUGUAAAGAAAUAUAAUUUAUACCAAAAAAAAAAAAGAAAACAAAAUACCUACAGAUUAAAAAUUGGGUGCUUUUUUAGAUCGUAAAUAAGUGUAUUACGUAGAGAACAAAUGUCUGGGAUAUGUGUGGCUUCAACUAGGAGCAGACAAGUAUCUUAAAAAGUGCACGAAGACAAUUGUCUAAAUUGCAAUGUUUUCAACUAAAAUGUUGAAGACGACGGAAAGUGGACAUUCGUUACAAAGCAGAUCUUCAAUGGAAAAGGCCAGUAGUUGUUGUGUGUGUUUCAUUUCACGUAAUGACUACGACCUUCAGCCACGAGGAAUAACGACUAUCAAAUAAAGACCACCGCUUUGCAGCUGAGGAGGGAUUUAAGCACAGAAUUUUCGCCAGUAGUGCUAAUGCGUUCACAUAUAAUUAUACCAUUGAGGGAUAUCCUGUCUCAUUUUUAACGGACGAAUGUCCAGGUUCAAUGAAGCCUAUACAAAUUUCAAAAAAUAGAUUGAGAUUCAUCAAGUUCUACAUCUAUGGAGCAAGGUCACAUAUGAUCACAUCAAAAAAAGUGUAUACAUAUAAUAUGAUGAAGCAGCUGGCGGCUAAUCCUGAUAUGGACUGGAGCAAACGCACAUUGUUGUAUGUGCCUGGUUGGAUGGACAAUAUUUACAUGUUUCCAAUAGGAAGAAUUAUGAAAGUGCUUUAUAAAAAAAUGGGAUAUAACGUAAUUAUACUCGAUGUACUUAAGUUCACGACGCACGAAUAUCCAAUAGCGGCACGGUUCAUGUUUACUGUCGGCGAUCUUGUAGGUGAGAUGCUCGCUAAACUUCACGCUCUCCAACCCAAGUUCGACCCCAAGAAACUGGAACUGCUGGGUCUAAGUCUCGGAGGACAUACUAUGAGUUUUAUAGCUAAAGGCUUCUAUAAACGAACAGGUAUCAAAGUAGCGAGGCUGACAGGCAUGGACCCCGCCGGGCCGUGCUUCAAGAACAGAGGUCCUGAGGGAAGAGUUGACGAGAGUGACGCUGACUUUGUUGAUUUGAUUCUAACUAACAUAGAUACAUUGGGAAUGGCUGCUCCAGUAGGUCAUGUCAAUAUUUACGUCAACGGUGGAGAGUACCAACCAGGAGAUAUUUAUUUUAUAUUAUGUGGUCCUUUAUGUAGUCAUUGUCGCAGUAUUUCACUAUGGAUAUCUGCUAUGACAAACCCUGAUGCAUUCAUAGCCAUAAAAUGUGACUCUGUACAAGAUGCUAGAGAUAAAAAUUGCUAUGAUAGAAAACCUAUAGAAACUAUUAAAAUGGGACCGCAUAUAGAUAGGAAAGCAAGAGGUAUUUAUUACUUGUCAACAACGAACUUUUAUCCUUUUGCAUUGGGAGAAAAGGGGUUGCUGAAGGAAAAUGACUAUGCUUUGAAUAAACUGACUAAAAUGAAUGCAGAUGAAGUAUUAGCAUUGUGAUUGAUAAUAUUUGUUAUUUAGAUGACUUAGUAUCUAGUGGCUAUUUUUCUUUGUGUUUUAUUUUGUUACUCUUACGUGACAGGUAAGCCGUUGCUAUUAUAAAACUGAAAAAAAUAAUACGCACAGUAUCAAACUUCUUUAUUGAUGAUGGCUUCAGAACAGGCUUAUUGUUAAGAUGAUUAUUAUAAACUAGUUGCGCCCCGGGGCUUCCCUCCUGUCGGAAUAUCGGGAUAAAAGUAUGUAUUUUCCAGUUUAUAUUCUACCCGUGUACCAAAUUUCAUAACAAUUGGUCCAGUAGAUUUUGCGUGAAAGAGUAACAAAAAUACAUACUUAGAUACAUAUUAUAUCUUCACCAAAUGAUACACACAAGUUUAGUUUAAUUCAAACUAUGUCAGCUAUUUAAUAAUAUCGAAUAUACCAAAUCACAAGAAAAAUUUAAAUAUACAAAGUUUUAGCAAGUUUCUAACCAGAACCGAACAAAGGACAAAGAUCAACAGUGAUUAAAAAUGGAUUUACGCAUGUCGCAUCUUUGGCGUUCCGUAACUUCUUCUUAUUUAUAAAUUUACCCUUUUCUCUGUUAUUACAUGGAAUGAAAAAAUAUAAAUAUAUAAUAUAUAAAAUAUAUAGGGACAACCCACACAGAUUGAGUUAGCCCCAAAGUAAGUUCGAGACUUAUGUUUUCAAAGCAACUUUCUUGGCCAAUUUGUUGGAUGGAACAUUGUUAUUACACGCUAGCUGAAUAUGAAAUCUACUAUAGUACAAGUGUAGAAUCUGAUGAUCACCAAAGGAAGUAGUAAUCAACAGAAAAAAAUCAAUUGCACAUGAUUCAGAUUAGAAACACGUGAAGAUUCCUUCCUCCUUUCAGGAACUACCUCAUCUUAAAUCAACUCUUUAAUUUUCUAUCUCAUUCUCUUCAUUUCAUUUCAAGAAUUAAUUUUCAUUUCAGGUAGCCAGAGACACUUUUCCUUUCCUUCAUGUCAGUUAUUGAGUUUAACUUGCCUUGAUUGGUCAAAUCUUGUUAGCAAAAUCUACACUAUAAAUACUGUCGAUUGUCCUACUCGUUUAAUAUAUCUCAUUUGGUUUCAUUUUUUUAUGCUAAUAUGCAUUAGCAUAAAAACUAUUUAACUAAAUAUUAAAUUAAUAUAUAUUAUGAAAUUUCCUUUCUUCCUGUUCAGAUAAAUUCAACAGCUAAAUCAUUUUUUAAAAUGUAAUUAAUAAAUGAAUAAUUACGAUGGCAGCUGUACAAUUGUACCUACAUAGUUUAGAACCAUACUAUGUGAAUCUACUCACACUUAGCUUUAAGGAGUCAAAAAAUUCAGAAUAUUUUAAAAAUAUCAUUGGUACCUACAUAAUCAAACAUCUGGAAGGGAAGUGGCAUUUUAAAGACAUGUAUAUAACAAUACAUUAUUACAAUAUAGAUAUUUUUCCUUGAGUCAUUGAUGUGGGUUCAAGCCAUUGUGGUAUAUAAGCCAUUAAAAGUAACUAAGAUAUUGUUUUGUAAAGUAUUGUAACUUUUACAAAUAUAGGCAAUUAACAAAAUUUUCGGCCUAAACAAGUUGUAAAAUGUUCUUAUAUUUGUUUUAUUUUUGUGCCCCAAUAGUUUUAGCCAGCAGUGCCAAUUCUUUUUCCUUUAAUAGGACUGUGGAGGGAUAUCCUGUAUCAUUGUUGACGGAUGAUUGUCCUGGUUCAAUGAAACCUGUAGUAAUUUCUAAAAGUAGACUAAGAUUCAUCAAGUUUUACGUUUACGGAGCAAAAACACCACAGAUGACUCAGAGAAGAGAGUACAAUUACAAUAU